GACGGGGCCCGGCACAAGCGGUGGAGUAUGUGGUUAAUUCGAUGCAACGCGAAGAACCUUACCUGGUCUUGACAUCCCGGAGACCCUUAGGAAACUAGGGGUGCUUCCAUCUGGAAGAAUCUGGAGACAGGUGCUGCAUGGCUGUCGUCAGCUCGUGUCGUGAGAUGUUGGGUUAAGUCCCGCAGCGAGCGCAACCCUUGCCUUUAGUUGCCAGCAGUUCGGCUGGGCACUCUAAAGGGACUGCCGGUGUUAAACCGGAGGGAGGUGGGGAUGACGUCAAGUCCUCAUGGCCUUUAUGACCAGGGCUACACACGUACUACAAUGGCCGAUACAAAGGGCAGCGACACUGCGAGGUGAAGCCAAUCCCGUAAAAUCGGUCUCAGUCCGGAUUGGAGUCUGCAACUCGACUCCAUGAAGUUGGAAUCGCUAGUAAUCGUGGAUCAGCAUGCCACGGUGAAUACGUUCCCGGGCCUU
rnacentral:rRNA from 1 species